CUUUUUUAGAUAACACAUGGACUUUCAAAACACUUCCAUUUUGCGGUCAUUAAACUGAAACCAUGAACCUCAAAUGUGAAAGGUGUGCACUUCAAAGAUGUAUCACAGGAAACUGGAGCUUGCGUGUGAAUGUGUCUACCCAUGUGCAUGGUGUAAAGAGCUUUAAUUAACCAGCGUUUGUAUGCUGACUGCGUUACUUCCGAGAGAGAGGACACAUCUGCUCUCAUCAAUUGCUUGGAUGAACUAUGACAAGGAGGACAUCUGGAACUGCAUUGGCUGAUAGUCUUAAC